UAGAGGAUAAGUUAUUUAUAAACUAUAGGGCUCAUGACCCUAAAAAGAUUUUGAUCUCCUCUAA
rnacentral:tRNA from 1 species